UACGUAGGUCGCAAGCGUUGUCCGGAUUUACUGGGCGUAAAGAGCGCGCAGGCGGCUGGUCAAGUCCGAUGUGAAAUCUCCCGGCUCAACUGGGAAACUGCAUCGGAAACUGGUCGGCUUGAAGAUGGGAGAGGGUAGUGGAAUUCCCGGUGUAGUGGUGAAAUGCGUAGAUAUCGGGAGGAACACCAGUGGCGAAGGCGACUAGCUGGCCCAUUCUUGACGCUGAGGCGCGAAAGCUAGGGGAGCAAACGGG
rnacentral:rRNA from 1 species